rnacentral:misc_RNA from 1 species
UUUCCGUAGGUGAACCUGCGGAAGGAUCAUUACAGUAGUCACCCAGGUUGCCGCAAGGCCUCCUGGGUAACCUACCACCCUUUGUUUAUUACACUUUGUUGCUUUGGCAAGCCUGCCCUCGGGCUGCUGGCUCCGGCCGGCGAGCGCUUGCCAGAGGACCUAAACUCUGUUUGUCUAUACUGUCUGAGUACUAUACAAUAGUUAAAACUCUCAACAACGGAUCUCUUGGUUCUGGCAUCGAUGAAGGCGCAGC